rnacentral:rRNA from 1 species
GACGAACGCUGGCGGCGUGCCUAAUACAUGCAAGUAGAACGCUGAAGAGAGGAGCUUACUCUUCUUGGAUGAGUUGCGAACGGGUGAGUAACGCGUAGGUAACCUGCCUUGUAGCGGGGGAUAACUAUUGGAAACGAUAGCUAAUACCGCAUAACAAUGGAUGACACAUGUCAUUUAUUUGAAAGGGGCAAUUGCUCCACUACAAGAUGGACCUGCGUUGUAUUAGCUAGUAGGUGAGGUAAUGGCUCACCUAGGCGACGAUACAUAGCCGACCUGAGAGGGUGAUCGGCCACACUGGGACUGAGACACGGCCCAGACUCCUACGGGAGGCAGCAGUAGGGAAUCUUCGGCAAUGGGGGCAACCCUGACCGAGCAACGCCGCGUGAGUGAAGAAGGGUGUCGGAUCGUAAAGCUCUGUUGUAAGUCAAGAACGGGGGUGAGAGUGGAAAGUUCACACUGUGACGGUAGCUUACCAGAAAGGGACGGCUAACUACGUG